rnacentral:rRNA from 1 species
GACGAACGCUGGCGGCGUGCCUAAUACAUGCAAGUAGGACGAGUGGCGGACGGGUGAGUAAUGUCUGGGAAACUGCCUGAUGGAGGGGGAUAACUACUGGAAACGGUAGCUAAUACCGCAUACCAUCGGAUGUGCCCAGAUGGGAUUCGAGUCGUUGAUGCAUAGGUAUGCACCUAGGCGACGAUACAUAGCCGACCUGAGAGGGUGAUCGGCCACACUGGGACUGAGACACGGCCCAGACUCCUACGGGAGGCAGCAGUGGGGAAUAUUGCACAAUGGGCGCAAGCCUGAUGCAGCCAUGCCGCGGGUAUGAAGAAGGCCUUCGGGUUGUAAAGUACUUUCAGCGGGGAGGCGUUACCCGCAGAAGAAGCACCGGCUAACUCCGUGCCAGCAGCCGCGGUAAUUC